rnacentral:tRNA from 1 species
GCUUCCGUGGUCUAGUUGGUUAGGACGCUGGUCUUAUGAACCGGAUAUCGCGGGUUCGAGUCCCGCCGGAAGCA